GCGCCCGUGGGCUAGUAGUUAAGCUGCUUCCCUCCCAAGGAAGAGACCGCGGGUGCAAAUCCUGCCGGGCGCA